GAUGAACGCUGGCUGCGUGCCUAAUACAUGCAAGUCGAGCGAACGGACGAGAAGCUUGCUUCUCUGAUGUUAGCGGCGGACGGGUGAGUAACACGUGGAUAACCUACCUAUAAGACUGGGAUAACUUCGGGAAACCGGAGCUAAUACCGGAUAAUAUUUUGAACCGCAUGGUUCAAAAGUGAAAGACGGUCUUGCUGUCACCUAUAGAUGGAUCCGCGCUGCAUUAGCUAGUUGGUAAGGUAACGGCUUACCAAGGCAACGAUGCAUAGCCGACCUGAGAGGGUGAUCGGCCACACUGGAACUGAGACACGGUCCAGACUCCUACGGGAGGCAGCAGUAGGGAAUCUUCCGCAAUGGGCGAAAGCCUGACGGAGCAACGCCGCGUGAGUGAUGAAGGUCUUCGGAUCGUAAAACUCUGUUAUUAGGGAAGAACAUAUGUGUAAGUAACUGUGCACAUCUUGACGGUACCUAAUCAGAAAGCCACGGCUAACUACGUGCCAGCAGCCGCGGUAAUACGUAGGUGGCAAGCGUUAUCCGGAAUUAUUGGGCGUAAAGCGCGCGUAGGCGGUUUUUUAAGUCUGAUGUGAAAGCCCACGGCUCAACCGUGGAGGGUCAUUGGAAACUGGAAAACUUGAGUGCAGAAGAGGAAAGUGGAAUUCCAUGUGUAGCGGUGAAAUGCGCAGAGAUAUGGAGGAACACCAGUGGCGAAGGCGACUUUCUGGUCUGUAACUGACGCUGAUGUGCGAAAGCGUGGGGAUCAAACAGGAUUAGAUACCCUGGUAGUCCACGCCGUAAACGAUGAGUGCUAAGUGUUAGGGGGUUUCCGCCCCUUAGUGCUGCAGCUAACGCAUUAAGCACUCCGCCUGGGGAGUACGACCGCAAGGUUGAAACUCAAAGGAAUUGACGGGGACCCGCACAAGCGGUGGAGCAUGUGGUUUAAUUCGAAGCAACGCGAAGAACCUUACCAAAUCUUGACAUCCUUUGACAACUCUAGAGAUAGAGCCUUCCCCUUCGGGGGACAAAGUGACAGGUGGUGCAUGGUUGUCGUCAGCUCGUGUCGUGAGAUGUUGGGUUAAGUCCCGCAACGAGCGCAACCCUUAAGCUUAGUUGCCAUCAUUAAGUUGGGCACUCUAAGUUGACUGCCGGUGACAAACCGGAGGAAGGUGGGGAUGACGUCAAAUCAUCAUGCCCCUUAUGAUUUGGGCUACACACGUGCUACAAUGGACAAUACAAAGGGCAGCGAAACCGCGAGGUCAAGCAAAUCCCAUAAAGUUGUUCUCAGUUCGGAUUGUAGUCUGCAACUCGACUACAUGAAGCUGGAAUCGCUAGUAAUCGUAGAUCAGCAUGCUACGGUGAAUACGUUCCCGGGUCU
rnacentral:rRNA from 1 species